CGGACGGACUCAUACGCUGCUACCAAGCUAAUGAAACAACCCUUCUCGACUCGAAAUCCGGUGGUUAAAGUUCUGCAGACGAAGAAAAACAUCCAGGUGAGACACAACUGCAACAGCCCAUUAAGGAAGAAAAGUUUCCAGCUUAUCCAGAGGCCUAUAGCAGUUGAUUGUUCAUCUCAACCUACCUAACCGGAUCGACCGGAAAUAAAAAUGCAUCAACGGAAAUGAGUAACUCUUCAGUGAGAAAGAAGCAAGUAGAUCCACAAAGCUAGAGAUUCGUAUAAUAUAAAUACCUUUAAGAAAAUUGCAAAUUUGUUGGGAAUCUGCAGCUGAAUCUCUUGAUAUGGAGAAGAGGCGCCAAAGAGAAGAAGAAAAUAUUCCUCAUUCCUUUAAAAAUUUUUAAUGCGGAUCGAUGUCACACAAUGAUGGCGUAAGUGAACACAAGAUUAGGGAGGAGGAAUGAUCAGAAUCCCGUACGCAUGCUCGCCCAUUCAUACAAAGAAACUACUGUUCUGUUCAAUAAAACAGUAGUUCUUAUUUAAGUCAAGUCGAACACGGUCAAUGUGAUCCGAUAUAUUAUUAUAUCAGAAAAUGACGUCCCCCAAACUCUUAGCCGUUUAUUAUACAGUUUGGCCCGUUUCCGCGGGCAUUGAAAAGAUUUUUUUUUCUUUUUUUAAUAUUUCUCCCUUCAAAAAAUAAUUAGAUUUUUAUC